UACGUAGGGUGCAAGCGUUAAUCGGAAUUACUGGGCGUAAAGCGCACGUAGGUGGUUUGCUAAGUCAGCUGUGAAAUCCCCGGGCUUAACCUGGGCACUGCAGUUGAAACUGGCAAGCUAGAGUAGGGUAGAGGGGUGUGGAAUUCCAGGUGUAGCGGUGAAAUGCGUAGAUAUCUGGAGGAACAUCAGUGGCGAAGGCGACACCCUGGACCAACACUGACGCUGAGUGAGCGAAAGCCAGGGGAGCAAACGGG
rnacentral:rRNA from 1 species